GCCCGGGUGGCGAAAUUGGUAGACGCAAGGGACUCAAAAUCCCUCGCCGCAAGGUGUGUCGGUUCGAGUCCGACCCCGGGCA
rnacentral:tRNA from 1 species